GGUGGCAGAGGUUGAUCAAGAAUCCAUUCAAUGAGAGGCUGCUCUCUCCAACUCCUCGUUCUUUGAUCCUUGACUGAGCCGAUGAUUGAGCUGCUUAAGAGAGGUCGCUACUUGCGCCUAUUUACCUGAAAUAUCUCUGACCUCUACUUGAACAGGAGAGCCACUGGUCGUAGUCCGAGAGUCUUUCCACUGAACUAUUCUCCCGCUAGAGUGAUCAGUCGACAAUGCAGCGACGAUUCUAACGAACUCCCAGUCAAAUGGGUAGCUCUUGAAUCUGUCUAUGAAGUUGCUUUAGCGAGAAGUCUUGAUUGAUAUAGGCUUUCUUGGAUCGCUCACAGGCUUGCUUUCAAGAGUGGGAAAUAGAACUUGGUACAGCCUUUUGCCUAAAAUCCCAUACCCACUUGACUAAGGGACUUCUAUUCUGGUGUGAUCAAGCUUGUGAGAGUAGUCCCUUUACUGCCGAGCCAAGAGCGUCCCUAGGAUAGAGAUCCUAUCUUGGUUAAUUUCGUUAACCUCUAAUGGGCGCUUCCCCUUGGCCAGUUCGUAAGAAGCUUCUUUCUCUCCGGAGCCGGAAGCUUUAUCGACACCAGAUUGGGCUUUUUCAGCGCCGGAAGCUCCUGACUCCGUUUCCGCGGGAAACAUCCUAUUGGGUUGGACCUCCCAAGCGCCAGAAUAGGAAAUGACCCCCUCCGAGACACUCAAAAUUAGAAAAGGUAGAAAACUAUGUAAAGAAAGACCUAAGCGAGACAUGAAGUAGAUUCGUAGAUAAUAGCCAUAUAAAGAUAUGAAAAAGAAUAUGGAGAUAUAGAAAAAGACACGUAGAAAGCCGGACUUCUUGUUCAAACGAAACAGAAAGAUGAGGCCGAAAAUAAGUAUUGCAAAAAGGACGAGAUUGAUACCACUAGUCAUUAUAGCGAUUCCUUUUGAUCCUAGAUAAGGCCCAAAGGAAAUAGCUGCAAAAGCACCGAGACCCCUCGCGAGUAAACGAAGAAUUGUAGAAAGAAAGAAUUUCAUGCUUGUUUACAAAACAAAUGUGCCUUUUUUUCGCCAGCCUAAAGAGGCUGUGCCGGGCUGUGCACUUCACUUCAGCCCUUCACAUCAAGGUGACAGGAUUCGAACCUAUGGCCCUCUGUACCCAAAACAGAUGCGCUGACCAGACUGCGCUACACCUCGUAUCACCCCCCCCGGAGCAUAUAGAUCCACCCGAUCGAUGAACACUUGAACCGAACCCGCCCAUUUAGGCACAGGGACGCGAGAACCAAUCCGAGUAAUCAACCGCUUUUUUUAGAAAAUCUGCCUCCAGCAAGAUAUGGCGACGCCAAAAAGCCGUAUAGUGCAGGAGCGCUCAUAUUUUUUUUUUGGCUUCCUCUUUCACUUGAAUUUAAAAAUCCGGCUCGCUCCCGGCUACGUGUCCUUUGGACCCUUCACCCGCUUAGAAGUGGAUUCGAACCACUGACAC
rnacentral:tRNA from 1 species